GGGUCUGACGACAGUAACCAUGUUUGUUGACUGUCUCGGAGGCCUGUGUGUCUGGGCCUGGGGUCUGACCACAGUAACCAUGUUUGUUGACUGUCUCGGAGGCCUGUGUGUCUGGGCCUGGGGUCUGACCACAGUAACCAUGUUUGUUGACUGUCUCGGAGGCCUGUGUGUCUGGGCCUGGGGUCUGACGACAGUAAAAUCACUUUCCUUCUUCUUUCAUUAUUUCCUCCCUCAAUCUCUCCAGUUGGUUCUUUUUUCUUUCAUCUCUCCUGCCUCCACCCUCUCUCUCCUCUCUCGAAAAAUAGAUAGAUAGUGGUCUCUGGGGAUAGCAGUAAUUAGUGACAAGAAUACUAUUGUGAUUUUUUUUAUUCCCAGUCCAGAUAAGUGAUACAGGAUUGUGCGUGUGUGUGUGUGUGUGUGUGCGUGUGUGUUAACCCAGCUUCCUCACUGUGUCAUUAAUAUAGUAGGAAUGUGCCGAGUCGACAAACUGGAUCUGAUCUGACAAAGCUUUUCCUCACUCCUCUUUCUUUCUCUCCCUAUCUCAUUCACCUAUCCCUCUUUCUCCCCCUCUCUCUUUCUCCCAUCCCUCUCUUUCUCCCAUCCCUCUCUUCUCCCAUCCCUCUCUUUCUCCCAUCCCUCUCUUUCUCCCAUCCCUCUCUUUCUCCCAUCCCUCUCUCUUUCUCCCAUCCCUCUCUCUUUCUCCCAUCCCUCUCUCUUUCUCCCAUCUCUCUCUUUCUCCCAUCUCUCUCUUUCUCCCAUCCCUCUCUCUUUCUCCCAUCCCUCUCUUUCUCCCAUCCCUCUCUUUCUCCCAUCCCUCUCUUUCUCCCAUCCCUCUCUUUCUCCCAUCCCUCUUUUACUCACUCUCAUUCUCCUAUCCCUCUUUCUCUCCCUCCUUCACCUAUCCCUCUUUCUCUCCCUCCUUCACCUAUCCCUCUUUCUCCCACCCCUCUCUCUUUCUCCCACCCCUCUCUCUUUCUCCCACCCCUCUCUUUCUCCCACCCCUCUCUCUUUCUCCCAUCCCUCUUUUACGCUCACUCGCUCUAUCCUCUUUCUCUGUUUUACUCUUUUCUCCUCUCCUUUGCCUCUUGUCCUUUGCCUUGUUAUCACUGCAGACAAAGAAACAUUACACACACACACACACACACACAGAAAGAGAGGCACACUGAGUUAUUUCUGCAACACUCUUUUAACAAAAAUACCAACCAAACGCCACCAGCACCAAGCACUCUGCUGUUAUAUGCAUAACACAAAGGCCUAACGUAUCCAUAAUUUCAUUUGGACCUUUAGAUCGUUCAAUAUUGACUGGUAAUUGUGUGAAUGGGACAGAUUACUGUUGUAAGACCUGUACACACCCUCUGGAAGAAUCUGAUUGGCAGACAGUGAUCAUGUUCAUUCUAAGGGUCAUUCUAAGGCAGCUGCCGUUGCUCUAAGUUAUUACUGUUAUUUAUGUGACUUGGGGUUUGAAGAGCAUCUGCAUCAAACUAUAGACUGAUACCAACUGUUGUUGUGUUGUUGUGAACGCACCAAUUUGUAAGUCGCUCUGGAUAAGAGCGUCUGCUAAAUGACUUAAAUGUAAAAUGUAAAUGUUAGUUUGUUAUUUAUCUGUUUCAUUUUCUUUGCGCACAGAGUUAAAGAUACUCUGCUGCUGUUUUACUGACUCUCUCUCUCUCUCACUCACACACACACACACACAUAGUUGGCACAGAGAGAUGGGGUGUGUGUGUGUGUGUGUGUGUGUGAGAGAGAGGGGAGGGGGGGGUUGACCUUUCCUGUGUGGAAAAUAACCAGGAUUCUGACAGUACAGCGGGAUUACUACAGCCAUAGAGUACUGAUCCUCUUCCUGCACUGUCUCCCUAUUGGAAUCUCUCUAUUGUCUAGAUUUAAUCAGUGUGUGUGUGUGUGUUGUAGCUUUUGGAUGUGACUAGUAGGACAGUCUGGAGAAUAACAGGAACACUUCUCAGGUCCCUCCUUCCUGUGAGGUCAAAGGUCAAGAGGAAGUUGAUCAUGUGUCAUAUCUCACCAGACAUUCCUCCAUGUUUGUUUUCUCUGGGAGAAAUCUGGAACUUUCUAUCAACCAGAUGAGAAACAAUGUUAUCCAAUGUUCUUUCUCUCUGACCGUGCUGUCCAUUCUGUUACUGAAGACCCCCCCCCCCCCCUCAGCCCAGAUAACUGUGUGGGGCGGGGGGGGUUAAAGAAGACGGACUAUGGACUCUGCUUCCUGUAUCUGCCACUGGACACACAAACGCCCAGCCCUCUGUGUCUGUGCCACAUCGCUGUUCUUUCUACAUCUCUGAGGAAGGUCAAGAUGUGUGCUACAAACUAACCUCUUCCCGAAGAUAAUGCUUGAAUCCGUUUUCCUUUGGGUUCAUUAAAACAUCUCCAGUACCACUGGAUCCCAGCUCAGCCCACUCUCUGGAGAGAGGAACAAUAAUGAUCUUGGUUCAACUCAACCCUUGGCUACAAUAACAAUGUAGCAGAAACCUUACUGGAAUAAAACUGGAGAUGACUAAAA